UCAAAAAAAAACACAGCUUCACCAACUGACGCCAGGAAGUGCAACAAUUGCGGAUCGAGGAGAGGUUCUACUUCUGCCCCAUUAUCACAAAAGAGAGAGCUUUCUUCAAUGGGAGUUGUUUCAUUCUCUCCAACCGUAAUUCCUCCCAUUCCACUGUCAAAUUCUUCUCCAUUUCCUUCCAAAUCAAAUCAAGUGUUGGAAUCCCUAGAAUACUUAUAAAAAAAAAAAAAAGGUGUUGGAAUCCCUAGAAGUCCUAGUUGGAUUUGAAUCCACGACCUUUAAGGUUUUUAUCUCUUGCCCUUUUGCUUCUUUUCUUUUGCUCAUACUUGUCAAAAAAUUAGGGAUAUUUUUUUUUCGUUUUCCCAACUUUUAGCUGAAUUGAGCCUCAUAAAACAUUUGGAUUUGUCGUUCUUGGACUUCGAAAGUUAAACAUGGACAUGAAAGCAAUUGCUAUGCUCGGUUGCGUAUAAAAUGUGGUACACGAAAGUAAAAUACUUUCUCUGCAGCUGUUUAUCAAUCAGCAGAUGCUACUUAACACUAACUAUCGAUGGUUUAGUUGGAGGUUCUGAGACUCCGAAUACUUCGUCGCUCAUCUGCGGUGCAGAUUUAGACAAGUCUCUUUAGGUAUCACCUUUUGUUAUCAUCCGAAGGAUGCCAGGCCUCAACAUUUUUAGCUUGUUGCAAAGAAAGCUUCUGAGGUGUUUGCAGUGGACAUUCAUCCCGGGGCACAGGCCAUGGAGGGCAGACUUGUACUCGGGAACUUUCUGUCUGUGGGGUUUGUGGAGCCCGGUUUAUUGUUGUGGCGGCCCAACCUGAUGACCCGACCAGGCCCGACAAGAAUUCGUUUCGGUUUUUUAGUGGAUUUUCAAUGAGGCGUGUGCCAUGGAGCGCAAGCUUGGGGCGAUAGACAGAAAGUUUGCAGUGGACAUUCAUCCUGAGGCGGAGAUUGGACGUGGGAUACUACUUGAUCAUGCAACAGGGGUUGCGAUCAGCGGCCCAGUGGUGAUAGGAAAUAAUGUGUCAAUUUUGCAUAACGUGACUUUGGGAGGGACUGGCGAGGAUAAUGGGGACAGGCACCCAAUGAUUGGAGAUGCAGUGUUGAUAGGAGCGGGGACCAAUGUGAAUUUGAAAAUUGGGGAGGGUGCGAAGAUUGGCACUGGUUCAAUGGUGUUGAAGGAAGUGCCAUCAAGAACUACUGCAGUUGGGAACCCUGCUACAUUGGUUCGAGGCAAGGCCAAGCCUGCUAGGCAUGAUCAUAUUCCUAGUUUAUUCCUAGACCAUACUUCACACGAGUGGUCUGAUUAUGUCAUAUAGAGCCUAUUCUUUGUAUUGUAAGAGAACAGAAGUUAUCUCUAAAAGGGAACCGCAGUAUGUAUGUAAGAAAGGGUUAAUAGAGAGAGCACAAUCCUCUUUUAUACUUUAGUAUUCCACGUACGUGUGUAUCCUUACUAAUUCAAUUUGUUUUGAAGCAAUCUUACUGCUGUUGCAAACUCGAGGCAACUCAAUAAAGCAUUGCACAACCAAUUGGUCAGCUGUGCAAAUCCUUUUUCACUAGUGUUUUGGGAUUAGGUUCUCUUAAAUCUUUAGAGACUUUGAGAGGAUUUAUCAAAGGAUGCCUGCUCAAUGAUAAGGUAUCAUUCUGAGAUAUGUUAUGGGGGGUUCCUAAGCUAAUGAAUGUUGGUGGGGGUGUCGAGGAUCAGCUUCCGCUGGCAUAUUUUGGUGUUAUUGUUAGCUGCAAUUGCAUUGAAAGCUGUGGAUUGAAAUCUUAUAGCUAAUAAUCGGUAUCCAUAUCAUUUUACAGGAUUAAUAAAGGAAGCAAAGUGAACAAGCAGCAACAAUCCCAAGUUUGGUUAUGCUCCAACAAAUUUGAAAUUCUGAUGUGCCCCAUGUGUUGCUUUUGUUGUCAUGAUACAUCUGCAAAUUGCAAUCUCCUUUUCGAGUCAUGGCUUUCAGUUUUUGGUAUAUGCUUGAAUUUGACCUUUAAGCAUGAUUGCUAGAAGAUAAGAAUUCUCCCCUGAGGAAAAAAAAUCAACCUUUAUCAAUGCGUAUAUCUAAGACUAUUCAUCUAGGCCGGAUUUUUUCCCUGCCCGGUCCGGAACCUGGAUAACCGAGUUUUGGCUUGAAAUAACCACGGGUCAGUACCCACUUUUUUAAACCUGGGCCUAUCCGGCCCGGAUGCAGGUUUUUACACCCGGUACCCGGGUUUAGAUAUAAAAGGCAUUGUUACCAACUUACCCCGUUACUCGGAGAUGCCCUAGCCCCCCCCCCCUUCUCUCUCUCUCUCUCUCUCUCUCUCUCUCUCUCUCUCUCUCUGCGAAGUCGAUGCCCUACGCCUCCCUCCCCCCGAUUCCUUUCUCUCAUCUGCUCUUUCUCUCUCUCGCUCUGCUCUGCAUUUGCAAUGCCCUAGCCCCUCCCGAAAUCACUCUCUCAUCUGCUCUCUCUCUCUCUCUUUGCAUCUGCGAUACACUAGCCCCUCCCGAAAUCACUCUCAUAUGCUCUAUCUCUCUCUCUGCCAUCUGUGAUGCCGAACGGUGGAAGUGCUUGAGCUUGGGAUCCAAGAGAUUAGAACGUAUUUCCGUUUGGGUUGUAACAAAUACUCCUUUCCCAUAUGGCAUGCAACAACAUCAAAUACUAGUUUCUGAUUCAGCCAAGAGAGCUUGUCAAAACUACUAUCCUGUGAUUGUUGAAAGAAGAGCUAAUUGCUAGACAAAUUUUUGAUUUUUUGCAAACAAUUUGUUGUGUAUUAGAGUUUGAUUAAAGCAAUGUAUGUAUUUUGUAAGAUUCUUAGAAAAUUAGUUCAAACAAUGUAAUAUGUAGUUGAUUACAUCUUAU